rnacentral:rRNA from 1 species
AACGAACGCUGGCGGCAUGCCUAACACAUGCAAGUCGAACGAGAUCUUCGGGUCUAGUGGCGCACGGGUGCGUAACGCGUGGGAAUCUGCCCUUUGGUUCGGAAUAACAGUUGGAAACGACUGCUAAUACCGGAUGAUGACGAAAGUCCAAAGAUUUAUCGCCAGAGGAUGAGCCCGCGUAGGAUUAGCUAGUUGGUGUGGUAAAGGCGCACCAAGGCGACGAUCCUUAGCUGGUCUGAGAGGAUGAUCAGCCACACUGGGACUGAGACACGGCCCAGACUCCUACGGGAGGCAGCAGUGGGGAAUAUUGGACAAUGGGCGAAGGCCUGAUCCAGCAAUGCCGCGUGAGUGAUGAAGGCCUUAGGGUUGUAAAGCUCUUUUACCCGGGAUGAUAAUGUCAGUACCGGGAGAAUAAGCUCCGGCUAACUCCGUGCCAGCCGCCGCGGUAA